UUUGCUGUGUCCUUUUUCUGUUUCUUGGCAUCUGCUGUUCGUUUGUGUGCAUUCGUUGUAGGUAUUUGCUGGCGUGAAGUCGUACGUUGACGUGGCAUGGCUCGGAGCGGCGCAUGGAGGGAGCGGCGUUGGAGGCUGCUGUUGCGGCGCUCGUGCUAGGGCUGAAUGCCUAGGGUUUUUUAUUUUGAUUUUUGUUUUGGGCUGCGUUGUACUUUGGGCCAGGGUUAAAUGUUUGGGUAGUUAAUUUGGGUUUGGUUUAGUGGGUUUUGUAAUCUGGAUUGCUAUUGGACUGUUAUAAUUUUUUGUUUGGUUUAUAUUUGGGUUAUUAUUAUUUUUUUACUGGUUUAUUUUUGGUUUGUGGGCCCGGGAAAAUAUUAGGCCUUACAGAACCUAAUGUGAUUGUUAAUGCACCCACUAUUAAGGGUGAUGAUAUGAAUAAUCAAGAAUUUAAUAAUGAG
rnacentral:lncRNA from 1 species